rnacentral:rRNA from 1 species
UACGUAGGGUGCAAGCGUUAAUCGGAAUUACUGGGCGUAAAGCGUGCGCAGGCGGUUAUGUAAGACAGAUGUGAAAUGCCCGGGCUAAACCUGGGAACUGCAUUUGUGACUGCAUGGCUAGAGUUUGGCAGAGGGGGGUAGAAUUCCACGUGUAGCAGUGAAAUGCGUAGAUAUGUGGAGGAACACCGAUGGCGAAGGCAGCCCCCUGGGUCAAGACUGACGCUCAUGCACGAAAGCGUGGGGAGCAAACAGG